rnacentral:lncRNA from 1 species
GAAGAAAUGUUGAAUGGAAUUUUUUUCUAUUUCAAAGAAAGAUGCACAGCACGGAUGUGCCUACGAAAGAGAAGGCAAAGCAGACACAGGGUCUGAACAAGGGACACACAGAGCAGCCAAAGACAUCAGCAACAUCUGCCAGCCACCUCUGGAAGACAGGAGCAUCGCUGAGGGCUGGACGGAGGCUCCUCCAUCAGCGGAGCCCUCAGCCGCAGACAAGAUUUCGUUUGACAGACCUUGGAUCCUGCUUCUCCUCUUCCAAAAACCAUUUGCACCUUCCUAGCUCAGCAAGGUGGACUGGCCCUCUAUAA